rnacentral:SRP_RNA from 1 species
UCUGGGCGUGGUGGUGCACACCUGUAGUCCCAGCUACUUGGAGGCUGAGAUGGGAGGAUUGCUCGAGCCUGGGAGGCCAAGGCUGCAGUGAGCAAUGAUCAUGCCACUGCACUCUAGCCUGGGCAACAGAGUAAGACCUUAUUU